UGGGGAAUAUUGCACAAUGGGCGAAAGCCUGAUGCAGCGACGCCGCGUGAGUGAAGAAGUAUUUCGGUAUGUAAAGCUCUAUCAGCAGGGAAGAAAAUGACGGUACCUGACUAAGAAGCCCCGGCUAACUACGUGCCAGCAGCCGCGGUAAUACGUAGGGGGCAAGCGUUAUCCGGAUUUACUGGGUGUAAAGGGAGCGUAGACGGCGAAGCAAGUCUGAAGUGAAAACCCAGGGCUCAACCCUGGGACUGCUUUGGAAACUGUUUUGCUAGAGUGUCGGAGAGGUAAGUGGAAUUCCUAGUGUAGCGGUGAAAUGCGUAGAUAUUAGGUGGAACACCAGUGGCGAAGGCGGCUUACUGGACGAUAACUGACGUUGAGGCUCGAAAGCGUGGGGAGCAAACAGG
rnacentral:rRNA from 1 species